GCUCACCUAAGGUAUCAGCCAGGACAUGCUGGAGGAGGCCUCAGAUGUAGCCAUCUGCCUCCAAAGCCCUUGACCUAGAGCAAGUACAAUGCCAAAACCAAGGAGUGUGGCUGGAAGGCAAAAGGCCCGAGGGGAGGCUGCCAUGCAAGAUGAGGCUGGCGCUGUUGCCAUAACCAGAGCUCAAGAAAGGAAAGCUGUCCAAAGAAACUGCAUUCAGCCAGAAAGGGAAUUUAUAGGGAUUUGAGGGGACGGAGCCAUUCUGAAGACAAAGCAGAAAUUCUGAUAAAAGAUCCCAAAACAUAGUUUCAAGCUAUCUGGGAUGUGGGGUUUAGGAAAACAGGCCAUGGGUGGUCUUGGUACGGGAGCAAGCACAAAACUGUCUGGGAAAUGUCCCUGAGGAAGGCCACUGUGUCUUCGGGCCAUGAGCAGAGCUUUCCUGCUUUGGGCGAAUGGAGUCUGGGGACAAGUUGAUGACAAUGGAGGGCUGAAGACAGCUUGGGAAUUAGUCUUUCCGAGAUAACUACUGGGUGGGGCAGAUUGUGUGGUCCCGGUCCAAGCCACACAGGAAGCCCACACUGGCUUCUGAGCAGGAGUGUAACAAAAGCCAGAUGACACUGGAAAGACACGUUGGCUGCGUGGUGACCACAGAGGACAGGCUGGAGAAGGACCCGAGACGUGCAGAUGGGAGUUGUGGCAGUAGUGGCCAUCUUGAGGGACAGACACCGGGAGAAAACGAGUGAUGCGUGCAAGGAGGGGCAUCGCUGAGCCCACACAAGACUCAAGAUGGAUGAGACAGAGGCGGCCUCAGGUGCCUGCAGGUGGAGAGAGAAGCACUGGGAAGCCUGAAGGAGCAUGAGAAAGACUGUUGCUGUAAGACACGGCGCUAUCUAUGGCCUGAAUAUUUGUUAUCUGUUGAAAUCCUAACCCCGAAGGUGAUGGUAUGAGGAGGUGAGGACUUUGGGAUGGGAUGACUGCUCUCAUAAAGGAGGCUAGAGAAAGGCUCCUGGCCCUUUCCAGCAGGCGAGGACACAGAUGCCAUCUUGAACCAGGAAGUGGCCACACCAGACACGGAAUCUGCCAGCACCUGGUUCCUGCACUUCCCAACCUCCAGAUCUGUGAGAAAUAAAUUUCUGUUGUUUACAGCCAUCCACUCUGUGCUUCAGAGACCUGAACAGACUAAGACAGAUGGUGAGCAGCGCUCUAUAAAGGUGGUGAUUAUAAAGUGAAAUUAAACAUUAUAUAUAAAAAUCCAUGACUGGCUGGGUGCAGUGGUUCACACCUGUAAUCCCAACACUUUCGGAG
rnacentral:lncRNA from 1 species